UAAAAGAUAGAACAGUCUAGUCAAGUGUCAUGUCUCUUAUUCUUGAUCAGCUAUAGCUCUGGGGUUUUUGCAGAUUUUCAAAUAAAACUCAGAGAUUCCUUGUAUGAUUCUCUCAGGUCUCUCUUUUAUGGUAUUUCUGGAUCCUUACCAAGGCAGUGAUGGUAUAUGCCUUCUCUCAAGAUAUGUAGUAUUUGUGGUAUAAGGCAUAGUGACAUUGCCUUCUCUCUCACCCUACUCUAAUAAGGCUUUAAUAUCUGGAGCUCAUAGGUGGGAGAUAAAAUAUACAUACUUACAAGACAUGUAUUGCAUAGUCAAACCAUGGAUCCAAAGAAACAAAUCAUUAAGUCAAAUCAAGAUGUGCAUGUGUGGCGAAUGAAUGGUGUAUGGUGAUGAUGGUGAUAACAAUGGUGAAA
rnacentral:lncRNA from 1 species